GCCAGCAACUGAAAUCUCUGAAGAAAGCUCACGUGAGAAGGAGCGUACUUCAGGGGACUCCAAGAGGUAUUUUGCAGGAGGGCUCUGAUUGUGGAAAUAUGCAGAGAUAUGGACAGAACAGCCACAUCAAGUGACAUGAAGACUAAGGAAAACAGAAUGGGCUCCUCAUGGCGUGGCAGUGGCUCUUGGAGGCACCUAUGGGGAAAGGAUGG